AGAGUUUGAUCCUGGCUCAGAACGUACGCUGGCGGCACGCCUAACACAUGCAAGUCGAACGAAGUAGCAAUGCUUAGUGGCAGACGGGUGAGUAACAUGUGGGUAUCUACCCUUUGGCCUGGAAUAACACGAGGAAACUUGUGCUAAUACCGGAUAAGUCUUUACGGAGAAAGCUUUAUGCACCAUUGGAUGAGCCCGCACUUGAUUAGUUUGUUGGUAGGGUAAUGGCCUACCAAGACUAUGAUCAAUAGCUGAUUUGAGAGGAUGAUCAGCCACAUUGGGACUGAGACACGGCCCAAACUCCUACGGGAGGCAGCAGUGGGGAAUCUUGCACAAUGGAGGAAACUCUGAUGCAGCGAUGCCGCGUGAGUGAAGAAGGCCUUUGGGUUGUAAAGCUCUUUCGUCGGGGAAGAAAAUGACUGUACCCGAAUAAGAAGGUCCGGCUAACUUCGUGCCAGCAGCCGCGGUAAUACGAAGGGACCUAGCGUAGUUCGGAAUUACUGGGCUUAAAGAGUUCGUAGGUGGUUGAAAAAGUUGGUGGUGAAAUCCCAGAGCUUAACUCUGGAACUGCCAUCAAAACUUUUCAGCUAGAGUAUGAUAGAGGAAAGCAGAAUUUCUAGUGUAGAGGUGAAAUUCGUAGAUAUUAGAAAGAAUACCAACUGCGAAGGCAGCUUUCUGGAUCAUUACUGACACUGAGGAACGAAAGCAUGGGUAGCGAAGAGGAUUAGAUACCCUCGUAGUCCAUGCCGUAAACGAUGUGUGUUAGACGUUGGAAAUUUAUUUUCAGUGUCGCAGGAAACCGAUAAACACACCGCCUGGGGAGUACGACCG
rnacentral:rRNA from 1 species